rnacentral:rRNA from 1 species
GUUAAUUCCGUUAACGAACGAGACUUUAACCUGCUAAAUAGACACUAGAGUUAGCUCUAGAUGCGCUUCUUAGAGGGACUUUGCGUGUUUAACGCAAGGAAGUUUAAGGCAAUAACAGGUCUGUGAUGCCCUUAGAUGUUCUGGGCUGCACGCGCGCUACACUGAUGCAUUCAACAAGUCUCUCCUGAUCUGGCGAGGUUGGGUAAUCUUUUGAAUAUGCAUCGUGAUGGGGAUAGAUGAUUGUAAUUAUUCAUCUUGAACGAGGAAUUCCUAGUAAGCGCAAGUCAUCAGCUUGUGCUGAUUACGUCCCUGCCCUUUGUACACACCGCCCGUCGCCUCAAUCGACUGGAUGAUCCGGUGAACGACUCGGACUGGCCGAAGAUACGGUUGUAUUAUUUGGCUGGAAAGUUUUGUGAACCAAAUCAUCUGAAGAAUGAGAAAGUCGUAACAUGGUAUCCGUAGGUGAACCUGCGGAUGGAUCAUUU